CGGAGGAAAAGAAACCAACAGGGAUUGCCCUAGUAACGGCGAGUGAAGCGGCAACAGCUCAAAUUUGAAAUCUGGCUCCUUUUAGGGGUCCGAGUUGUAAUUUGCAGAGGGUGCUUUGGCAUCGGCGGCGGUCUAAGUUCCUUGGAACAGGACAUCACAGAGGGUGAGAAUCCCGUACGUGGGCGCCUGCCUUUGCCGUGUAAAGCCCCUUCGACGAGUCGAGUUGUUUGGGAAUGCAGCUCUAAAUGGGAGGUAAAUUUCUUCUAAAGCUAAAUACCGGCCAGAGACCGAUAGCGCACAAGUAGAGUGAUCGAAAGAUGAAAAGUACUUUGGAAAGAGAGUCAAAUAGCACGUGAAAUUGUUGAAAGGGAAGCGCUUGCAGCCAGACUUGCCCGCAGUUGCUCACCUAGGCUUUGGCCUGGGGCACUCUUCUGCGGGCAGGCCAGCAUCAGUUUGGGCGGUCGGAUAAAGGCCUCUGUCACGUAUCUCCCUUCGGGGUGACCUUAUAGGGGAGGCGUAAUGCGACCAGCCCGGACUGAGGUCCGCGCAUCUGCUAGGAUGCUGGCGUAAUGGCUGUAAGCGGCCCGUCUUGAAACACGGACCAAGGAGUCUAACAUCUAUGCGAGUGUUUGGGUGUCAAGCCCGAGCGCGCAAUGAAAGUGAACGGAGGUGGGAACCCUUUGGGUGCACCAUCGACCGAUCCUGAUGUCUUCGGAUGGAUUUGAGUAAGAGCAUAGCUGUUGGGACCCGAAAGAUGGUGAACUAUGCUUGAAUAGGGUGAAGCCAGAGGAAACUCUGGUGGAGGCUCGCAGCGGUUCUGACGUGCAAAUCGAUCGUCAAAUUUGGGCAUAGGGGCGAAAGACUAAUCGAA
rnacentral:rRNA from 1 species